rnacentral:misc_RNA from 1 species
UCCAUCCACCAUCCUCAGCACAAACUGUACUAUCAGCACUUUUCCAGCUGCCUUUGUUAUUGUCAUCUUGGCUCCAACUGCCCUUAUUAGAUUUCCAUCCCUCAGCAUCACUGCCAGAGCCUUUGCUCCAACUGUAGGGUUUAUCUUCCUGCGAAUCAUUUCUAUUCUGCCAUUCACCACUUCCAUCCCUCCUUCCACGCCCUCUACCACGAAAUCCUCCUCCAUCUGAUCCUCUACCUCUAAAACCUCCUCUGUCCCCUCUACCUCGAAAACCUCCCCGACCUCCAAAGCCGCCACCAUCUGAGUCACCCCUACCUCCAAAGCCACCAGCAUCUGAACCACCCCUACCUCCAUAUCCACCCCUAUCUGAUCUACCACGACCUCCCCUCCAACUACCACCUCUUCCCCUGUCACUGUAAGAAUCAGAUUGCUGGUUGUUGCCACCGAAGCCACUUCCAGAACUCCAGUUACUU